GAGAGUUGGGUGAAUCAAGUGACCACUAAAGGUGAAAGUAGGACCUGAAUAAGAGCUAUAACAAAACAGGGAUUCUCUUGAGACAACUGAAGAUAUAAAGAAAGAUCCCAGGAUGGAGAAGGAAGAGUCAGCCUUGAAAAUAGGCUUCAUGGAGGACUAAAAGAUGGGAAGAGCACAAGAAGAAGAGUCAGAAUGAGAAGUUUGUUACCAAUGAUGGUAUUCCAGGUCUCUAGAGUACACAAUGGAAAGGGAGCAGAGGAAGAUAAAAGCUACUGGGAGUAGCAGUUGGUAGGAUGUUGCCUUCAUUAAUGAUCCUGGCUUUAGGCCAGGUAGCAUAUGUCAAUAGAUGCAGUGUGAAGAUGUGCCUAUGAAGGAAAUUGUUAACAUAAUUGAAUACUAAGGAAUCCCAGCUUCAAGAGAUGACUUUAGCAAUUGUGUUCUCAGUCACAAUUCACAAUAAGAUUGGGAGAGCUCAUUUAUAAAUCACUAAGUAAUUCUUAAGAGAUUAUAAUCAAAUAUAGCAUAAUACAAA